UAACCUGCCCAAGAGAUCGGGAUAACACCUGGAAACAGAUGCUAAUACCGGAUAACAACAGAUGAUGCCUAUCAACUGUUUAAAGGAUGGUUCUGCUAUCACUCUUGGAUGGACCUGCGGUGCAUUAGCUAGUUGGUAGGGUAACGGCCUACCAAGGCGAUGAUGCAUAGCCGAGUUGAGAGACUGAUCGGCCACAUUGGGACUGAGACACGGCCCAAACUCCUACGGGAGGCAGCAGAC
rnacentral:rRNA from 1 species